UACGGAGGGUGCAAGCAUUAAUCGGAUUUAUUGGGCGUAAAGGGCGCGUAGGCGGGCUCGUAAGUCAGAUGUGAAAGCCCGGGGCUCAACCCCGGAACAGCAUUUGAAACUGCAAGUCUAGAGGGUAGGCGGAGAAAACAGAAUUCCACAAGUAGCGGUGAAAUGCGUAGAUAUGUGGAAGAAUACCGGUGGCGAAGGCGGUUUUCUAGCUUAUACCUGACGCUGAGGCGCGAAAGCAAGGGGAUCAAACAGG
rnacentral:rRNA from 1 species